CAUUACUGUAAAAAAAUCUGAAUUUUUUCUUUCUUUACAGGGCUGAUAUAUAGAUAGCUACCAUACACCGAUUACUUGAGUUCCUCCAGUGGUUGUCUGCCCUUUCUCCAGACUAGAUCAUCUUAUUUACUUUCAACUUAUUGAAACUUCUACUGCCUGCUUAGAAUAAUUUUCUACCAAUCGUCUGAAUCUCAAGCUCACUAACGGUACCGCCCAUCGAAACUUAAAGAUUCUUAUGUUUAUUAAACUCCGUUUUACGUUAAUGAUUAAAAAUCAUUAAUCAUAUAGAUAAGAAUUACUAGAAAUCAAUUAUAUACGAAUUUAUAUCAGAAAAUGACGCGCUAAAAGUUAAAAUCAAUAAGAAAAAAACGUUAGUUAGAGUGAUUUAUGUGACUCAAGCAGAAUAAAAUUUUCUACUCUGAUAAAAUGAUUGAUAAGAUAAAAAUAGAACGAAAAUAAUUGAUACAUCAAUCAAUUUAUAAAAGUAUAUUUAUAUUUAUUAACGCAUUAUAGUAAUCUACUGUUAAUAUUAAUUGACAGAAAUAGUCUAGAAGCGACGUUUGGUCUGGUCUUUCUAGUUAUUUAAAAACUUUAUUUUAAAAGUAUUACGUACGCUCAUACCAAAGCCGAUAUAUACGAAUUCCUUAUAGGCGGUUUGAUAAAUAAUUCAUGGCGUUCUACGAAAUAUCAGUGAAAUUCAAAAAAAUAUUUUGCUAUUCAAGAAGAUAACAGCAAUAAAAGCAUGUAAUCGUGAAAAACAUUCUAAAAAUAAAUCUUCAAUGUUAUUAUUUAAGAAUUUAACUCAUACUUUGAAUAGUAGGCUGGAUAAAAAUAGAUACAUUUAUUUUUAAAAUUCA
rnacentral:lncRNA from 1 species